GGUAGUAUAGUGGUGAGUAUCCCCGUCUGUCAUCCGGGAGACUGGGGUUCGAUUCCCCGCC
rnacentral:tRNA from 1 species